rnacentral:lncRNA from 1 species
CACAUAUUAGGGCUAGCCUCUUGAGAAAUCAUAAAGGAAUGUUGACCUCUGUUGCUUUAAUUACUGAGUGAUAAGACACAAUGUUACAUAAAGUACCAUGUUUGAGCUACAUGGCAUGAAAGAAUAGAAUCUUAUUUCAUUCCAAGUGAAAAUUCUAUGUUAACAUUAAAUAUUUUAAACUUCUUUGCAUACAUUGUGUAGAACUGUAUGAAGAUAUUCAUAUAGAGGUUAUUACAUCCACAUAUUUAUAUGUUACACAUAAAAUGUAUACACACUAAACAAAUGAAUGCCAGUUUACCUUUGAAGGAAAUUGAUUUUUGAAGAUGAAACUUCAAAUUUCAAAUUACAAAUUUUAAAAACUUGAUUUCUUAUAUAUAUAUAUAUAUAUAUAUAAUUUAAUUUAUAGGUAGUUAGUAUUUUUAAAGAAUAAUUUUAUUGUUUUUUAAAAGAAAAAUAAAUAAAUAAUCAAUUUAAAUUUUGUUGAUAAAUAUAUAUGGAUAUAUAUAUAUAUAUAUAUAUAUAGGUUAAAUUUAUCAAUUCAAAUCUUAUAAUUUCAAAUUCAAGUAUUUAAAAUAACAACUGUAUGCUAAAUUUUAUGUUGUAGAUAUUAUAUGAUCUUUAAUAAUCCUUUUUUCAUUAAAAUAUUUUCCCAAUUUUUGAAAGAGAAAAGAAACAAAAAAUCAAAUAAUCAAACACUCCAAUCAUUUCAAAUACUCCAUGCAGAAUCUAUAAACAGUGGUGUUGUAUGCUGUGGUUUUUCAAGUAUGUGAUUUCAACUUCUUUUUUUUUUGUUCCUACAAUAUACAUUUUCACCUUUAAGUAGUAGAAGAUAAAAAAAUAAUAAUAAUAAUAAUAAUAAUAAGUAAACCUAACUAUAUUUCUGAAAUUUUAAAAGUAGCAUGAUCAUUACACAAAUGUAAAUCAAAACAAUUCAAGCCACUAAAUUAAUAUCUCUAGAAUAUCUCUAGAAAAACUGAAUAAAUUUUUCAUGAAAAUAAUAUUGAUGCAUGAAAUUUCAAAAAAAGAAAAAAGGUGCUAACAUGUACUUUCAAAAAUAACUCAAUAUGUGGGUAUAUAAUAGGAGUUUAAGAUAAGAUUAAAUAGACCAAAAUUGAAAAUAUCAGAUUUCAGCAUUAUUUGCAAUUCAUUUAAAAAAAUAGUUACAUUGGAGGGAAUAUAGAAUAAUAUUUAUUCGGGGAUUAUGCAAGUUACUAUUAAAAUAGUUUUUUUAGGAAUAACAUAGUUGCUAUCCCAAUAUUCAAUUUUAUUAGUGCCUCAUGUGUCUUUUACAUCAACACUAGAUCAAACAUUGGCCAUUCAUUUUAAACAAUUAUCAGUUCAAAAGAUAUGAAAGAAGAUUUUCAGAAUUUAAACAAAAUAAGCAUGGUACAAUAUUUGGUCAAGUGAUGUACCAAGGCAAAAGAAAUAUGCAAGAAUGUGCAAAUGAAAUAGACACUUCUCACUGAAUGUACACAUUAAAACUGUACAAAGACAAAAAGGGCUCAACAAUGAAGCACAUUGGGAUUAGAAAAAUGUAAUUUAUUUUGGGCCUGUGCACAUUACCAUCACUUUCUCACAUUUCAAUCCAACAUAAAGUUUCAAUGUCACAUGAAAGGAGUAGAAGACUCUGAUAACACUUGCAAUUAAACUUUCCAUAUUUGAACAAGUAAUUUUUAAAAAGAAACUACAUUUCAAAAUGUACAAUCAUUCACCCGUUUGACCAAGUUUGGCAUAAAUCAAACAAUUUAAGAAUAAUAAACAAGACAAAAUAAAAUCAAGUGUAUACUGAGAAUUAUAUAGAAAUUGAAUCUAAAUAAUAAACUUAUACCUGGUAUCCAGAAUUUUCCUGCAAAAUUUAAUCUUUUUUUUCUUUUAAAAUUUGAAUGGAGUAUUACUAAGAUUCAAAUUUCUAACUAAGAAAUAAAAUCUCCAAUGAUUAUACCAUGGAAUUCAAUGCAUUCAAUAGUAGUGGAUAAACUCAAAAUAAAGCUGUUGGUGAUUUAUUUGUUUGUUUGUGUGUAUAUAUAUAUAUAUAUAUACAUACAUAUAUGUUGCACAAUAUCAUAUUUCUUUCACAAGUUUUUCAUCCAUCAACUGAAAGAAAUAUGUUUUUCUUAACAUAUAAGAAUGACAAACUGUACUUGUCAUUCAAUUAAACAUCUUGUACCUCCUUUGAAAGUUGAACUGCUCAAUAAAUAUUCAAAGAUUGUGUGUGUGUGAGUGUGUGUGUGGGUAUUGAU